rnacentral:rRNA from 1 species
GGUUAAGCGACUAAGCGUACACGGUGGAUGCCCUGGCAGUCAGAGGCGAUGAAGGACGUGCUAAUCUGCGAAAAGCGUCGGUAAGGUGAUAUGAACCGUUAUAACCGGCGAUGUCCGAAUGGGGAAACCCAGUGCAAUUCGUUGCACUAUCGUUAACUGAAUACAUAGGUUAACGAGGCGAACCGGGGGAACUGAAACAUCUAAGUACCCCGAGGAAAAGAAAUCAACCGAGAUUCCCCCAGUAGCGGCGAGCGAACGGGGAGCAGCCCAGAGUCUGAAUCAGCUUGUGUGUUAGUGGAACGGUCUGGAAAGUCCGACGGUACAGGGUGAUAGUCCCGUACACCAAAAUGCACAGGUUGUGAACUCGAAGAGUAGGGCGGGACACGUGGUAUCCUGUCUGAAUAUGGGGGGACCAUCCUCCAAGGCUAAAUACUCCUGACUGACCGAUAGUGAACCAGUACCGUGAGGGAAAGGCGAAAAGAACCCCGGCGAGGGGAGUGAAAAAGAACCUGAAACCGUGUACGUACAAGCAGUGGGAGCACCUUCGGGUGUGACUGCGUACCUUUUGUAUAAUGGGUCAGCGACUUAUAUUCUGUAGCAAGGUUAACCGUAUAGGGGAGCCGCAGGGAAACCGAGUCUUAACUGGGCGUUAAGUUGCAGGGUAUAGACCCGAAACCCGGUGAUCUAGCCAUGGGCAGGUUGAAGGUUGGGUAACACUAACUGGAGGACCGAACCGACUAAUGUUGAAAAAUUAGCGGAUGACUUGUGGCUGGGGGUGAAAGGCCAAUCAAACCGGGAGAUAGCUGGUUCUCCCCGAAAGCUAUUUAGGUAGCGCCUCGUGAAUUCAUCUUCGGGGGUAGAGCACUGUUUCGGCUAGGGGGUCAUCCCGACUUACCAACCCGAUGCAAACUACGAAUACCGAAGAAUGUUAUCACGGGAGACACACGGCGGGUGCUAACGUCCGUCGUGAAGAGGGAAACAACCCAGACCGCCAGCUAAGGUCCCAAAGUCAUGGUUAAGUGGGAAACGAUGUGGGAAGGCACAGACAGCCAGGAUGUUGGCUUAGAAGCAGCCAUCAUUUAAAGAAAGCGUAAUAGCUCACUGGUCGAGUCGGCCUGCGCGGAAGAUGUAACGGGGCUAAACCAUGCACCGAAGCUGCGGCAGCGACACUAUGUGUUGUUGGGUAGGGGAGCGUUCUGUAAGCCUGCGAAGGUGUGCUGUGAGGCAUGCUGGAGGUAUCAGAAGUGCGAAUGCUGACAUAAGUAACGAUAAAGCGGGUGAAAAGCCCGCUCGCCGGAAGACCAAGGGUUCCUGUCCAACGUUAAUCGGGGCAGGGUGAGUCGACCCCUAAGGCGAGGCCGAAAGGCGUAGUCGAUGGGAAACAGGUUAAUAUUCCUGUACUUGGUGUUACUGCGAAGGGGGGACGGAGAAGGCUAUGUUAGCCGGGCGACGGUUGUCCCGGUUUAAGCAUGUAGGCUGGUUAUCCAGGCAAAUCCGGAUAAUCAAGGCUGAGGUGUGAUGACGAGGCACUACGGUGCUGAAGUAACAAAUGCCCUGCUUCCAGGAAAAGCCUCUAAGCAUCAGGUAACAUCAAAUCGUACCCCAAACCGACACAGGUGGUCAGGUAGAGAAUACCAAGGCGCUUGAGAGAACUCGGGUGAAGGAACUAGGCAAAAUGGUGCCGUAACUUCGGGAGAAGGCACGCUGGUGUGUAGGUGAAGCCCCUGCGGGUGGAGCUGAGACCAGUCGAAGAUACCAGCUGGCUGCAACUGUUUAUUAAAAACACAGCACUGUGCAAACACGAAAGUGGACGUAUACGGUGUGACGCCUGCCCGGUGCCGGAAGGUUAAUUGAUGGGGUUAUCCGUAAGGAGAAGCUCUUGAUCGAAGCCCCGGUAAACGGCGGCCGUAACUAUAACGGUCCUAAGGUAGCGAAAUUCCUUGUCGGGUAAGUUCCGACCUGCACGAAUGGCGUAAUGAUGGCCAGGCUGUCUCCACCCGAGACUCAGUGAAAUUGAACUCGCUGUGAAGAUGCAGUGUACCCGCGGCAAGACGGAAAGACCCCGUGAACCUUUACUAUAGCUUGACACUGAACAUUGAGCCUUGAUGUGUAGGAUAGGUGGGAGGCUUUGAAGCGUGGACGCCAGUCUGCGUGGAGCCAACCUUGAAAUACCACCCUUUAAUGUUUGAUGUUCUAACGUUGGCCCCUGACCGGGGUUGCGGACAGUGUCUGGUGGGUAGUUUGACUGGGGCGGUCUCCUCCCAAAGCGUAACGGAGGAGCACGAAGGUUAGCUAAUCCUGGUCGGACAUCAGGAGGUUAGUGCAAUGGCAUAAGCUAGCUUGACUGCGAGCGUGACGGCGCGAGCAGGUGCGAAAGCAGGUCAUAGUGAUCCGGUGGUUCUGAAUGGAAGGGCCAUCGCUCAACGGAUAAAAGGUACUCCGGGGAUAACAGGCUGAUACCGCCCAAGAGUUCAUAUCGACGGCGGUGUUUGGCACCUCGAUGUCGGCUCAUCACAUCCUGGGGCUGAAGUAGGUCCCAAGGGUAUGGCUGUUCGCCAUUUAAAGUGGUACGCGAGCUGGGUUUAGAACGUCGUGAGACAGUUCGGUCCCUAUCUGCCGUGGGCGCUGGAGAAUUGAGGGGGGCUGCUCCUAGUACGAGAGGACCGGAGUGGACGCAUCACUGGUGUUCGGGUUGUCAUGCCAAUGGCACUGCCCGGUAGCUAAAUGCGGAAGAGAUAAGUGCUGAAAGCAUCUAAGCACGAAACUUGCCCCGAGAUGAGUUCUCCCUGAGACUUUAAGUCUCCUGAAGGAACGUUGAAGACGACGACGUUGAUAGGCCGGGUGUGUAAGCGCAGCGAUGCGUUGAGCU